UACGGGGGGUGCAAGCGUUACUCGGAAUCACUGGGCGUAAAGGAUGCGUAGGCGGAUUAACAAGUCUUGUGUGAAAUCCUAUGGCUUAACCAUAGAACUGCAUGGGAAACUGUUAGUCUAGAGUUCGGAAGAGGCAGAUGGAAUUAGUGGUGUAGGGGUAAAAUCCGUAGAUAUCACUAGGAAUACCGAUGGCGAAGGCGAUCUGCUGGGACGACACUGACGCUGAGGCAUGAAAGCGUGGGGAGCAAACAGG
rnacentral:rRNA from 1 species